UAAGAGGGCAGGCUGUGAAUACGGCUC
rnacentral:piRNA from 1 species